rnacentral:rRNA from 1 species
CCUGAUGCAGCGACGCCGCGUGAGGGAUGACGGCCUUCGGGUUGUAAACCUCUUUCAGCAGGGAAGAAGCGCAAGUGACGGUACCUGCAGAAGAAGCACCGGCUAACUACGUGCCAGCAGCCGCGGUAAUACGUAGGGUGCGAGCGUUGUCCGGAAUUAUUGGGCGUAAAGAGCUUGUAGGUGGUUUGUCGCGUCUGCUGUGAAAAUCCGAGGCUCAACCUCGGACUUGCAGUGGGUACGGGCAGACUAGAGUGUGGUAGGGGAGACUGGAAUUCCUGGUGUAGCGGUGGAAUGCGCAGAUAUCAGGAGGAACACCGAUGGCGAAGGCAGGUCUCUGGGCCAUUACUGACACUGAGAAGCGAAAGCAUGGGGAGCGAACAGGAUUAGAUACCCUGGUAGUCCAUGCCGUAAACGUUGGGAACUAGGUGUGGGUCUCAUUCCACGAGAUCCGUGCCGCAGCUAACGCAUUAAGUUCCCCGCCUGGGGAGUACGGCCGCAAGGCUAAAACUCAAAGGAAUUGACGGGGGCCCGCACAAGCGGCGGAGCAUGCGGAUUAAUUCGAUGCAACGCGAAGAACCUUACCAAGGCUUGACAUACACCGGAAUCACUCAGAGAUGGGUGCGUCUUCGGACUGGUGUACAGGUGGUGCAUGGUUGUCGUCAGCUCGUGUCGUGAGAUGUUGGGUUAAGUCCCGCAACGAGCGCAACCCUCGUUCUAUGUUGCCAGCACGUCAUGGUGGGGACUCAUAGGAGACUGCCGGGGUCAACUCGGAGGAAGGUGGGGAUGACGUCAAAUCAUCAUGCCCCUUAUGUCUUGGGCUUCACGCAUGCUACAAUGGCCGGUACAAAGGGCUGCGAAACCGCGAGGUGGAGCGAAUCCCAAAAAACCGGUCUCAGUUCGGAUUGGGGUCUGCAACUCGACCCCAUGAA